UGGGGAAUUUUGGACAAUGGGCGAAAGCCUGAUCCAGCAAUGCCGCGUGUGUGAAGAAGGCCUUCGGGUUGUAAAGCACUUUUGUCCGGAAAGAAAUCCUUGGCUCUAAUACAGUCGGGGGAUGACGGUACCGGAAGAAUAAGCACCGGCUAACUACGUGCCAGCAGCCGCGGUAAUACGCAGGGUGCAAGCGUUAAUCGGAAUUACUGGGCGUAAAGCGUGCGCAGGCGGUUUGCUAAGACCGAUGUGAAAUCCCCGGGCUAACCUGGGAACUGCAUUGGUGACUGGCAGGCUAGAGUAUGGCAGAGGGGGGUAGAAUUCCACGUGUAGCAGUGAAAUGCGUAGAGAUGUGGAGGAAUACCGAUGGCGAAGGCAGCCCCCUGGGCCAAUACUGACGCUCAUGCACGAAAGCGUGGGGAGCAAACAGGAUUAGAUACCCUGGUAGUCCACGCCCUAAACGAUGUCAACUAGUUGUUGGGGAUUCAUUUCCUUAGUAACGUAGCUAACGCGUGAAGUUGACCGCCUGGGGAGUACGGUCGCAAGAUU
rnacentral:rRNA from 1 species